CCUACGGGAGGCAGCAGUGAGGAAUAUUGGUCAAUGGGCGCUAGCCUGAACCAGCGACGUCGCGUGAAGGAUGAAUGAUCUCUGGGUUGUAAACUUCUUUUAUAUGGGAGUAAAGUGCAGUAUGUAUACUGCUUUGCAUGUACCUUAUGAAUAUGGCUCGGCUAACUCCGUGCCAGCAGCCGCGGUAAUACGGAGGAUCCGAGCGUUAUCCGGAUUUCUUGGGUUUAAAGGGAGCGUAGGCGGGUUGUUAAGUCAGUUGUGAAAGGUUGCGGCUCAACCGUAAAAUUGCAGUUGAUACUGGCAGCCUUGAGUACAGUAGAGGUAGGCGGAAUUCGUGGUGUAGCGGUGAAAUGCGUAGAUAUCACGAAGAACACCGAUUGCGAAGGCAGCCUGCUGGACUGUAACUGACGCUGAUGCUCGAAAGUGUGGGUAGCAAACAGGAUUAGAUACCCUUGUAGUC
rnacentral:rRNA from 1 species